CCUGAGAAACCCGAAAGAUCGAAUGGGGAGAUUCAUCGGUCAGCGUUUUUCGGCGGGUGUACGGUUUCUCGAUGUCUGGGCGCCCGGGGGCUUCGGCCUCCACGCCCGUGGCACGAGUCCGUAUGUUUAUUAUUGUCGAAAACGUCGCCGUGCACUUCUCCCCUAGUAGGACGUCGCGACCCGUUGGGUGUCGGUCUACGGCACGGAUAGGUAGCCUGUCACGUGCGUUCUGAACUAUGUUCUUUGCGCGCGGGGCAGACCUCCGUUCGCCCGACCGGCUGCCCGGCGGUACUCGCAAGGUAUCUGGCCGCAGCCAUACGAACUGCGUCCGGCCCGUCGCAAGCGAGGCAAGUGUUUCCCGGCUGUACGGAUCUAACGCCGUCAUCGGGCCUUGCCAGCUGUUGGCUGACGGUGUCCUAGGACUGGCUAAUCGAAUUAUGAUACCGGUCGGCGACGCUACUGCUUUGGGUACUUUCAGGACCCGUCUUGAAACACGGACCAAGGAGUCUAACAUGUGCGCGAGUCAUUGGGACUUUGUAAGCCUAAAGGCGCAAUGAAAGUGAAAAUCGGCCUCGCGCCGAUCGAGGGAGGAAUGGGCCGCGUCUCGAUGCGGUCC
rnacentral:rRNA from 1 species